GUGCAUCAGCCUGUAAUAAGGCGAGCAACGUUUGAUACCUCAGGUUUUUACUGCAUGUCAAAAAUCUAUGUUGCAGGCGGGAUGGCAUGGGCUCAAUUGGAUUGACAUGGAUAUGAACUACAUCAUUCUUGGUCCAUUUCUGCUGUAUGCAGUCAUGCAGAAAUCGUCUGUGCUGAGGGAUGGAUGCACUGGCAAAAACAGUCCGACGGUUAUUGCAUGAUGAAUAUGAUGUCAAAAGCUUUCGCAGAGAACUGACUUGUUUUGAAGAGUUGAACAUGAAAUCCACCUCAUCAAUAACCAGCACCUGCAUUGCUUCAAGUUUAAAUAUAUGCUUUUCAAGCAUUUGGCACAAACUUGCUAUUGUUGCCACUACUAUUGUAGGGGGUUCUGCCUUUAGCCAACUCUUAUGUCUUCUCAACAUCCCUCCAUCGAGAAGAGCCAUGACGGUAAUAUCCAUGGGCUUCGCAGCCAACAUCCUAGCAACUUUCGUAACUUGCAUU
rnacentral:misc_RNA from 1 species